rnacentral:rRNA from 1 species
UACGAAGGGGGCUAGCGUUGUUCGGAAUUACUGGGCGUAAAGCGGGCGCAGGCGGUUAUGUAAGACAGGGGGGAAAUCCCCGGGCUUAACCUGGGAACUGCAUUUGUGACUGCAUAGCUAGAGUACGGUAGAGGGGGAUGGAAUUCCGCGUGUAGCAGUGAAAUGCGUAGAUAUGCGGAGGAACACCGAUGGCGAAGGCAAUCCCCUGGACCUGUACUGACGCUCAUGCACGAAAGCGUGGGGAGCAAACAGG